UACAGAGGUCUCAAGCGUUGUUCGGAUUUAUUGGGCGUAAAGGGUGCGUAGGCGGUAGAGUAAGUCAGGUGUGAAAGCUCGAAGCUCAACUUCGAAAUUGCAUUCGAUACUGCUCUGCUUGAGCGCUGGAGAGGAGACUGGAAUUUACGGUGUAGCAGUGAAAUGCGUAGAUAUCGUAAGGAAGACCAGUGGCGAAAGCGAGUCUCUGGACAGCAGCUGACGCUGAUGCACGAAGGCCAGGGGAGCAAACGGG
rnacentral:rRNA from 1 species